CAAAGGGUAGGGUUUGGGCUGAUGGACAGGGCAAAGGGGCCGGGUUGUUUUGACAGACAGGGAAAAAUCUGGAAAGGAGGGAGGGGAUUCCUCUAGGGCCAGUUGGGUAGGAGGGCAUAAGACAGGGGAGAAACUAACUGUAAUAACUCGGGGAACACCUGAACAUACCACAAGUGUUGCAGCACUGCAGGGUGGUAGAAAUGCUGCAAUCUUCUUGGAGGCGUCUCCUUCAGAAGCCACUCAGCAGAAGGCCACGAGAACAGCCAUUUCCAGUCCAUGCACACGCACACGCCACAGACAGCUCAGUGCAGGAAAGACAGGAAGGGUCUUUGCAUGGCAUAGUCCAGCAAGGGUUUUAUUGCAUCCAGCACGCCAGAGGGACCAGAGACGAAAGACCAAACCAUGUGCUCUGCAGGACUUCAGUGUGGGCUCUGGAUGUUUACGUGGAUGGAUGUUGGGUGUGAAGAAAUUUGAAGCAGUACAUCCUUUCAAAGUUGUGGCAGCUGUGUCCAUGGUGAGCAGUGAAAAGUGUAUUGCUGCUGGUUUCAGAGUGUUACAUGCUUGGUGUUAUUAGCAUUUGGUAGCAGCUCACUCAGGGCUUAGGAGGUAGCACUGGUUUGCUUACUGGGUGAGCACUUUCAAUUCUCUUAGCAUUUGUUUUAAGUUUUUGCAGCAUUAACCCCAGGGACCAAUAUUGAGGCUUCUAUUUUCUUUUUUCUGCCUCAAAAAUCAAUAUUUUUUCUGCAGCCAGAUUUAAACUGAUGGAAAAAUCUGUUGUGCUUAAUUUUUUCGGUCACAAAUUAUGGUAAUGCUAGGUGCUAGCAGAGCAGGCUUCCCCAAGUCACAGGGUGUUUUGACCAUGGCACCAUUUAUUUGCUGGUGGGGAGUAAGGUUUCCAAGAGGUUUCAUGGGCGAGCAGGGCUCCCUCGGAGGUAAUUUCUCAGAGAACAACCUGUAAAUAGAAUACAUUGGCAAGAAAAAAUUAAAUUGUGAUAAGCUGCAAGAUUUAGUAAAGAUUGAGUAUUUGCAAAUUUUAAUUCACAGAUUUCUAACGUCCGGAGUACACAGAGAGACAAAACUAUAUUUAGUUACACAUCAUUUUAGUAAGGCUGUUAGAGCGUUUUACCUCUCUGUUUUCCAAUGGUUUUAAAGACUUGAUAUUCUUAAGACAAAUUUACUGGGGUCUUCCAACUACCCUUAUAAAAAGGAGACACAGUUGUGCUGUUAGAAUAUAACAGAAUUUUGAAAACUGAAAGCAUUCUUAAAAGCUCACAAAAAAUAGCUAUAAAAGAAGCUAUGCCUUCUUAAAAAAAAAUUAUUUUUAUUUUAUCAGAUGACUUGAAUGUGUUUGAGCAAUU